GAACUGGAUGGGGAGAUAGCGGUGCCCUGUAACCUGCAACCCGCUACAGCAGGGUCAAAAAACUACCUCGGUAUAAUAAGGUCAAAUAUGAGUAUAUGCUUAAACGCGAUGAAGUCAAGGUCUUAUGCAAUUAACUCCUCUGAACCAUGUCAGGUCCUGACGGAAGCAUCAUUAAGGAGAUCUGUUGAUGUGCCAUAGGGAAGCUUUGGUGGAGCGAUUAA
rnacentral:SRP_RNA from 1 species